UACGUAGGGUCCGAGCGUUGUCCGGAAUUACUGGGCGUAAAGAGCUCGUAGGUGGUUUGUCGCGUUGUCCGUGAAAACUCACAGCUCAACUGUGGGCGUGCGGGCGAUACGGGCAGACUGGAGUACUGCAGGGGAGACUGGAAUUCCUGGUGUAGCGGUGGAAUGCGCAGAUAUCAGGAGGAACACCGGUGGCGAAGGCGGGUCUCUGGGCAGUAACUGACGCUGGAGGAGCGAAAGCCGUGGGGAGCGAACAGG
rnacentral:rRNA from 1 species